UUGAUGACUAAAAUGUGAAAUAAGUUUAAAAAACUUAAUUGGUAAGGUGUGAUGGGUUUUCAAAGAAAGCCCCCGAUUAGCGAGUCCAAUUUUGUGGCCCAUAAUGAUAACGAGGCCGGGUCUUCGAACAACUAAGUUUCAUUUCAUAUAUAAAUCACAGAUUAGGGUUUUAUCAGUGAAUAACUCACAGUCACACAGAGAAAUCUAGAGAGAACAGGGCGAGUGUGUUAUACGCGCCGCCAAUAUGGGUAUUUCUAGGGAUUCCAUGCAUAAGAGGCGUGCCACUGGUGGCAAAAAGAAGGCAUGGAGAAAGAAGAGAAAGUAAUACAUCUUUUUUUAUUAUUUUGGAUUUUAUGUAUAUUUUAGUUUAUUUUGUUUGACAAUUUUGGUUUUGAUUUUUUUGAUGAAUAACAUGUUUGUCUUGUUUAGUAUUUGAAAUAUGAAUGGAAAUAAUAGCAUUUUGAAAAUGAGUGUGGCUGUUAAGUAUCCUAUGUGAUUUUUGAUAGAAUGCAAUCUGUGGUAUCUUAUUGAUUUAACAAGGUAAAUGGGAGUUACAAAAGGGUUAGUGCAUUAUUAAUCCACUAAGUAUUGUACAAAAAUAAGACUUGUUUUGAGACUGAAGCUGAUUUUUUCAUUCUGUUUAUAGUUGUAUUUUUUGUUUAUCUUGUAAACUGCAUAUUCACAUGCAAGAGUAGUGCUGUGUACAUCUAUUACACUCCCUAGACCUUAUUAAGUGGGAGCCUAGUGUGCUAGCUGCCCUUUCGUCCCAUAUGAUGCUAUACGAAAGAGCAUGGAAAAUUUUAUUUUUCUAUUACCGUUGUUGUUUUGUGGCACAAUUUGUAUAUGCCUUUUCCUGCUAUGACAGCUGGUUUUCUUUUCAAAAUUCACAUAGAUGAAAUUGGAAUUUAAACUGAGAGUAAUAGAGGGUGAAUAUUGAAUUCUAUUCAAUCUCUGCAAAUAAGAUCCUAAGCUG